UACGUAGGGACCAAGCGUUGUUCGGAUUUACUGGGCGUAAAGGGCGCGUAGGCGGCAAUUCAAGUCAGCUGUGAAAUCUCCGGGCUUAACUCGGAACGGUCAGCUGAUACUGCUUUGCUAGAGUGCAGAAGGGGCAAUCGGAAUUCUCGGUGUAGCGGUGAAAUGCGUAGAUAUCAAGAGGAACACCUGAGGUGAAGACGGGUUGCUGGGCUGACACUGACGCUGAGUGCGCGAAAGCUAGGGUAGCAAACGGG
rnacentral:rRNA from 1 species